GAACCCGCGGAAGGAUCAUU
rnacentral:rRNA from 1 species